CGGAAACGGAUGAAAAAAUUAUAAAACUAUACAUCAGAGAGUUUCUGUUUCCUGCCAGACGCUGUAUUUAAAUCCAGCUAUUAUUUGGAAAACAAAAACAGAGGCGGGGGAGGAGGUCUGAUCAUCUCAUCAGCUGAUUAUCUUCUUUUAACAAAGAACAGGAUUUAAAAAAAAUAAUCUUUUUUUCAUGUCGUCUGACCCAAAACAAGACGGACAGUUGCCAGGACUCGUUCUCGUCCGUGUUUUUUUUAAUUUCCAAAAGCCACAGUCGUAUUGUGUGACAAAAUGUUCAUCUUCAUAUGCGGCUUUUUAAAUGAAUGCAUACAGUACACGGCAGGAUGUUGGUCGUGGUUACCACGACGACCGGCCUCUGCCCGUCCGCGCCCCCAGACGUGGCAGAGGUGCAACACUCGACGUCGCUUGUACGACUUUGAUCCGUGAGAGCAGGUCUCUCCACCUCAACAGUGUGUGUGUGUGUGUGUGUGUGUGUGUGUGUGUGUGUGUGUGUGUGCGUGUGUGUGUGCGUGUGUGUGUGUGUGUGAGCUUUGAUGGAAGGGCCAAGCGGUUGUCUUGGAUGUGAAUGUCAGUGGCAGCUUGUCUGCUCUCCUCCCUUCACCUUGUCACCACUCAUCGUCUAUCAUCCCUCCCUCGUUCUCUCUCUCUCCAUUUUUCACUCUCAGUCCUUUUAUCUCCUCUCUCUCUCUUUCUCUCUCUCUCUCUCUCCAUCUCUUUGUCUGUCAAAUCCUUUCUCCCUCUACAUAUUUUUCUUUGGUUGUUCCUGAGUGGUGGUCUGCCCUCUAUUUCAUCUCUCUCCACAAGAGCUCCCAGCAUCGUGUCAGAUGAUGUCACGUUAUAUUGUGGACAAGUUUUAACAGGAGACGGACGGACGGAGCCCUCGACAUCGACGCCGCCGGGAGUUCUCGUCGAAAUAAACCUUAGAAGUUGGUUCAAAGAUGGCGCCCACUGCAUUUCUACCCGUGCACGAUCCGACCAGACGCCGACGAAUUGUUCCGGAAAACCUGUGGACUCCGCCCCUGCAAAUGAAUCCUGUGACUUUUCCUGAUAUGAACCGACGUCGGCGUGGGAUUUCCCAGUUUGAAGAGACGGAGCCGCGACAGUCGGGAGGACCAACAGAUCACAACCAUCAGUUAGAACGACAGGGCUCUUUUUGAUUGACGGAUAUUAAUAAACUGCUAUGGAAAUAAACAUUACGUGGAAGAAACCAUGUCGACUGUUGCGGGUGCAGUCCAUUCACUGCACCAUUCUGGAGUCUAUCUGUUCACACAGAACAGUCUGGAGCUCAUACUGGAAAAUGAAUAGUACUUUCCAGAACAGGACACAGAACUCCAGUCCCAGCCGACACACACACACACACACACACACACACACUCACACUCACACACACACACACACACACUCUCUGUGGCGACCUCGUAUUGAACCUGCAGACUUCUCCACACCUUCCCAUCACGUCCGUCAAUGAAUCCCCCCCUCGAUUGGUAACAUUAUCAGAUUUGCUGAUCGAUACCCGCCACUGUUGUAUCAAAUCAUAGCUCUUUGUUAUCAAUAUCCCAGGAGUGUGCGUGUUCAAUCAGGGAGAAGGGGCCCGGUCGAUAGCCGGCAGCUGUUGCCGCCGAUCCUGAAGCCCCGUCGAUGCCAAGCGGCGCCCCUGACAAAUGAUAACGCGCCCGGAUCGAUGCGCUCGCCUCACCCGAUGGUUACCCCCCGGAUGGGCAAGAUGGAGACGCACGCUGCGAUACAGCAAUGACACUGGAGGUUUGCAGUCCAACCGGUGGUGUUAUUCAUUUGCUG
rnacentral:lncRNA from 1 species